UGAGAAUGAAUUCUGGUGCCACCCUUGCCC
rnacentral:piRNA from 1 species